UGAGCUUAUUUAUCAGAAAUAUACCAGCACCUUGAGACUUGCCACAAGGCUUCAUGAUCCACGUGCUCUGUGGCGAUUUUCGAUAUUCCUCGACAAACAUAUUGUAAUCUGUGCUUUGAGUGUUAGAAAUUAAUUUUUCUUGGAAUUCUUUACCGAGUCCAGAUUUUCGGGACAACGGAUAUCGAAACACAAUCACGCAGUUCUGGUGCUUACCUCCCAUAAAUAGUUGCCAAAUUAGAGUUUCCAGCUCGUUUAACAUCGGGACCCAGGGUAUUCGCCAUUACUUACAAAUGAUUUGAGUUUAAUGUUUGAUCGAUAUAUUUACAUGUUCUAUGGAGACCGCCAGAAAGAAGACUUUGGAGAAGAUAAUAAAUGCAAUGUAUAAUCUGUUUGAAA